CGACCGGCGCACGGGUGAGUAACGCGUAUGCAACCUGCCCGUUUCAGCGGGAUAACCCGGAGAAAUCCGGCCUAAUACCGCAUGUGGCCGAGGGGAGGCAUCUUCUUUCGGCCAAAGGAGGCGACUCCGGAGACGGAUGGGCAUGCGUGACAUUAGCUAGUUGGCGGGGUAACGGCCCACCAAGGCGACGAUGUCUAGGGGUUCUGAGAGGAAGGUCCCCCACACUGGUACUGAGACACGAACCAGACUCCUACGGGAGGCAGCAG
rnacentral:rRNA from 1 species